rnacentral:rRNA from 1 species
UACGUAGGUGGCAAGCGUUGUCCGGAAUUACUGGGGGUAAAGAGCGUGUAGGCGGCCUGAAAGGUCAGCUGUGAAAACUCGAGGCUCAACCUCGAGACGUCGGUUGAAACCAUCUGGCUAGAGUCCGGAAGAGGAGAGUGGAAUUCCCGGUGUAGCGGUGAAAUGCGCAGAUAUCGGGAAGAACACCCGUGGCGAAGGCGGCUCUCUGGGACGGUACUGACGCUGAGAUGCGAAAGCGUGGGGAGCGAACAGG